rnacentral:rRNA from 1 species
UGGGGAAUCUUGCGCAAUGGGGGAAACCUUGACGCAGCAACGCCGCGUGGGUGAUGAAGGCCUUCGGGUCGUAAAGCCCUGUCAGGUGGGAAGAAACGUAUCGGUGUUAAUACCGCCGAUAUUUGACGGUACCACCGGAGGAAGCACCGGCUAACUCCGUGCCAGCAGCCGCGGUAAUACGGAGGGUGCAAGCGUUGUUCGGAAUUACUGGGCGUAAAGCGCGUGUAGGCGGUCGGGCAAGUUAGAUGUGAAAGCCUUCCGCUUAACGGAAGAAGUGCAUUUAAUACUACCCGGCUGGAGUACGGGAGAGGAGAGUGGAAUUCCCGGUGUAGAGGUGAAAUUCGUAGAUAUCGGGAGGAACACCAGUGGCGAAGGCGGCUCUCUGGUCCGAUACUGACGCUGAGACGCGAAAGCGUGGGGAGCAAACAGGAUUAGAUACCCUGGUAGUCCACGCCGUAAACGAUGGGCACUAGGUGUAGGAGGUAUUGACCCCUUCUGUGCCGAAGUUAACGCAUUAAGUGCCCCGCCUGGGGAGUACGACCGCAAGGUUA